AUAAAAUCUUCCCAACUUCCACAGUCUUGUCCUUGAAAUAAUAAAUGGCAAAUGGCAUUGUGGUAUCUAAUGCUGAAAAUUCAAUUUUAGCUAGGAUAUGUCUUCUCCUUCUUCUCCUUUCCUUGUUGAUACUGGUUGAGACCGUUAUUUAUUUAUUUUUUUUGCAAGGGAGACCUUGAAUUGGCGCGUGAGCGCUAAUUUAAAAUUGGGAGGCUCCCAUUGGCUGCCAGGUAGGGGCGGGACCAUGGCCAGAAGUGCCGUACCAGAAAUUUCUGUGGUGAUACUACCUGGAAGAAGCUGAGCUAGCUCAUUAGAGCUAACGUGGCUAAACAGUGUGGACCUUAUCAAAGAUAUUUAGAGGAUUACACAGCAGAGAUUCCAAGGACUACCAAGUACAGAUGGAAAGUAAAAGAUAGGGCAGAACUACAGGACAACUCACGAGAUCACAUUAGUCAGCCCACUGCUUCCCAUAGAGAAGUUACAGAUGAUGUCAACAGUAGGAGCUCUUCCACACCUAGGCUUUUGGAUUCUGCCCUUCAACAGAAUAUCAGUCAUGAUGACAUCAACACAGAUGGUCACAUGACUUACACUUCGACCAGUGGAGAGGAAGAACUCAACAAUUCCAGCAGUGAAGAUGAACUUGAUAGUGAGAGCUCUUCCACGGACAGCCUGUUGGAUAUGGACAUUCAAGAGAAUGAUAAUAUAGAUAACCACACUGACACAGAAGACCACUGGAGUAACACUUCCAGCAGUGAAAAUGAAGAUGAUGAACUCGACACUGAGAAACCAACCACAAGCCAGUUGGAUGUGGACGUCUCAGAGCUCUGCCACAUUCUGAAGAGGACUUGAUUGGUGCUGCCAUUGAUGAAGCUGAAAACCAUGCUGAUGACGAAGACGUGAUGGAGGGGAGUACAAGAGAAAAUGAACCUGAAUUUCCAGUGGGCAUUGAAGACCACACAGAUGGUGACAAGCCCCUAUAUCCUGGUGCACCUGUUUCAAAGGGAGAAAGUUUAUUGAUGCUGAUGUCCUAUGUGCUGCGUAACAACUUAACAGGCAAAGCACUUACUCAUUUACUGAAACUGUUCAAUCUAAUGUUUCCAGGUUUGAUUCCACCCUCACAUUCAAUUCAGUCUUUUGUUGAAGAACUUUACUUUAGUAAAAGGAAAACAGAAAAUUGUGAAAUGCUAAAUGAAAAUGUCAGAGGUUUUGGUCACCCCCCGGUGCAAACAAGUAUAAAAAUGUCAUAUAGGCUUGCCAUUGUGGAAAUCUAAGCAACUGCUUUUGGUCUUAGAACCGUUUUUUGGUACAUGGACUUGUGUAUCACAGUCAAAACUAUGACAGACUAAAGAAGAGACACAAUAGUGCUGCAUGCUUGAAAGAUGGUACAUUUUGUUUAAUUUCUGACUUGGUUAUUUUUAAACAAACAUGUUCACAUCAAAUCCCUGCUUUUUGUUCAUGUGGCAAACUAUGUUGUGUUUUAGUUGAGGUACUUAGUAAAUCAGA